CCUACGUGUGGCUGCAGUGGGGAAUAUUGGACAAUGGGCGAAAGCCUGAUCCAGCCAUGCCGCGUGUGUGAAGAAGGCCUUCGGGUUGUAAAGCACUUUCAGUGGGGAAGAAAGCCUUGGGGCUAAUACCCUCGAGGAAGGACAUCACCCACAGAAGAAGCACCGGCUAACUCCGUGCCAGCAGCCGCGGUAACACGGAGGGUGCGAGCGUUAAUCGGAAUUACUGGGCGUAAAGCGCGCGUAGGCGGUCUGAUAAGCCGGUUGUGAAAGCCCCGGGCUCAACCUGGGAACGGCAUCCGGAACUGUCAGGCUAGAGUGCAGGAGAGGAAGGUAGAAUUCCCGGUGUAGCGGUGAAAUGCGUAGAGAUCGGGAGGAAUACCAGUGGCGAAGGCGGCCUUCUGGACUGACACUGACGCUGAGGUGCGAAAGCGUGGGUAGCAAACAGGAUUAGAUACCCGAGUAGUC
rnacentral:rRNA from 1 species